UACAGAGGUCUUGAGCGUUGUUCGGAUUCAUUGGGCGUAAAGGGUGCGUAGGUGGCGCCGUAAGUCGGGUGUGAAAUUUCGGAGCUUAACUCCGAAACUGCAUUCGAUACUGCGGUGCUUGAGGACUGGAGAGGAGACUGGAAUUCAUGGUGUAGCAGUGAAAUGCGUAGAGAUCAUGAGGAAGACCAGUGGCGAAGGCGGGUCUCUGGACAGUUCCUGACACUGAGGAGCGAAAGCCAGGGGAGCAAACGGG
rnacentral:rRNA from 1 species